CCUACGGGAGGCAGCAGUGGGGAAUUUUGCACAAUGGGCGGAAGCCUGAUGCAGCGACGCCGCGUGGAGGAUGAAGGCCUUCGGGUUGUAAACUCCUUUUGUAGGGGACAAUGAUGAUGGUACCCUGCGAAUAAGCCACGGCUAACUCUGUGCCAGCAGCCGCGGUAAGACAGAGGUGGCGAGCGUUGUUCGGAAUCACUGGGCUUAAAGGGCGCGUAGGUGGUAGUGCAAGUCUGGGGUGGAAUCCUAUGGCUUAACCAUAGAAUUGCCUUGGAAACUGUAUUACUUGAGUCAGUGAGGGGAGGGUAGAAUUCCUGGUGUAGCGGUGAAAUGCGUAGAUAUCAGGAGGAAGGCCUGUGGCGAAGGCGGCCCUCUGGCGCUGAACUGACACUGAGGCGCGAAAGCGUGGGGAGCAAACAGGAUUAGAUACCCUGGUAGUCCACGCCCUAAACGGUGGGCACUAGGUGUAGGGCUCGUAAGGGUUCUGUGCCGAAGCGAAAGCAUUAAGUGCCCCGCCUGGGGAGUACGGCCGCAAGGUUGAAACUUAAAGGAAUUGACGG
rnacentral:rRNA from 1 species